rnacentral:rRNA from 1 species
AGAACGAACGCUGGCGGCAGGCCUAACACAUGCAAGUCGAACGCCCCGCAAGGGGAGUGGCAGACGGGUGAGUAACGCGUGGGAACAUACCCUUCGGUUCGGAAUAGCUCAGGGAAACUUGGAUUAAUACCGGAUACGUCCGAGGUUUAACGAUUUCGGAGAAAGAUUUAUCGCCGGAGGAUUGGCCCGCGUCCGAUUAGCUAGUUGGUGAGGUAAAAGCUCACCAAGGCGACGAUCGGUAGCUGGUCUGAGAGGAUGAUCAGCCACACUGGGACUGAGACACGGCCCAGACUCCUACGGGAGGCAGCAGUGGGGGAUAUUGGACAAUGGGCGCAAGCCUGAUCCAGCCAUGCCGCGUGAGUGAUGAAGGCCCUAGGGUUGUAAAGCUCUUUCGUCAGGGACGAUAAUGACGGUACCUGAAGAAGAAGCCCAGCUAACUUCGUGCCAGCAGCCGC